rnacentral:rRNA from 1 species
GUUGUAUAGUCAAGUAAUUAAGUGCAUGUGGUGGAUGCCUUGGCAGUCAGAGGCGAUGAAAGACGUGAUAGCCUGCGAAAAGCUCCGGGGAGGCGGCAAAUAUCCUUUGAUCCGGAGAUGUCUGAAUGGGGGAACCCACCUACUUUAAGGUAGGUAUUGCAACAUGAAUACAUAGUGUUGCAAGGCGAACGAGGGGGAAGUGAAACAUCUCAGUACCCUUAGGAAAAGAAAUCAAUUGAGAUUCCCUCAGUAGCGGCGAGCGAACGGGGAUCAGCCCAUUAAGUUAUGUGUGUUUUAGUGGAACGCUCUGGGAAGUGCGAACGUAGAGGGUGAUAUUCCCGUACACGAAAGGGCACACAUAAUGAUGACGAGUAGGGCGAGGCACGUGAAACCUUGUCUGAAUAUGGGGGGACCAUCCUCCAAGGCUAAAUACUCCUGACUGACCGAUAGUGAACCAGUACCGUGAGGGAAAGGCGAAAAGAACCCCUGUGAGGGGAGUGAAAUAGAUCCUGAAACCGCAUGCAUACAAGCAGUGGGAGCACCUUCGUGGUGUGACUGCGUACCUUUUGUAUAAUGGGUCAGCGACUUAUAUUCAGUAGCGAGGUUAACCGUAUAGGGGAGCCGUAGAGAAAUCGAGUCUUAAUAGGGCGUUUAGUUGCUGGGUAUAGACCCG